rnacentral:sRNA from 1 species
AGUUAAGGACAUGUCGGCA